rnacentral:lncRNA from 1 species
UAUAAUCAAAUUCUAUAAUCCAAACCAUGACAACUGCAUGCUAAUUUUAAAUUCUACGAUAUUUCAGUGUCAAAUUGGAUGAUUAGUGCCUUUUUUUUUUCUAGUCUUGAACACGUACAAUUAAGACUCUACUACUUCCUAUUCUAGGCAUAAACAUGCAUGCAAGAUAUAUGCAGAUAGAGCUAGAGUAGUUGAGUCACAAGGUCCGUACGACACAUAUGUAUUGUGUAUUUAUGGAGAAUAUGACCAGAUAUAUUUGCGAGGGAGGUAUGCAUUUUUACUUUAAAAUUUAUUUUCUAUUCAUGUUUUAUAUUGCUUCUAAUUUUAAAUUUUGUAUUUUUAGUGUUACGAAGGUAUGUUUGAAAUAUAUAAAUAGCGAUAAGAAUAUCAUCACUCUAAACACUCUAGAAGAGAAUUGUUUCAUUUGAUUCCAUUCGAGACAGUGGACUAGCCUACCUCGCCCCACAUGUUUCAAUAGAGUUGAUCAUAACUUCUUGAUAACUUUCUUAGGGAGGUAGCACAAGAAGACAAAUGCCUUUUAGUUAGUGAGAUGACAAUGAUACAUAACAGCGUGUGGUGUCUUAUACAUAUAUUUAUGCAAGGAUAUCUCAUUUGCUAAAGAGGAAGGGGAAAUUUGAUGGAUGGGUUUUUCAGAUCAGAUCUGAUGAGUGAAGGUGAAAAAAAUACACAAGAAUGGAGAAUGUUGAAUUGUGUAUUUGAAUUAUUUUUCACUUCUAAAUAAUUAAUUUUAAAAUCUGAUCUAAGAGUUGUUAGCAGUAAAAUGAAUAAUAUUCAGAAGCAAGAAGUAAAACAACAAAGAGUUUAUUCUGGUUCCUCCCACAAACAAAAUAGUCCAAUCCCCUUGUCCAACAAAAGAUUUUCACUAUAAUCAAACAAAUUACACUUUGCUCAAACAAACUAGCAAGAGACUUUAAUUGCUCAAGCACGCAUGCAAGAGGCUUCUUCUCAAGCACACAGGCAAGAGGCUUUAGGUCAAGCACACAGACAAGAGGCUUCCACUGCUCAAGCAAACUAGCAAGAGACUUCCACUACUCAAGCAAACCAGCAAAAGACUUUCUAUACUCUAAACAAAUAGUUUAGGAAAAUAGAUAACAACUAUACUUGAUGUAAAAUCAUAAGUAUAGAAGUGACACAACACACACAAAGAUUCUUAGACACUUAAGAUUUCUAAAAUAUACAAAGAUAAGAAAUCUCAAGAACUUGUGCGGUAAACAAUUAUAAAAAAUUGAGCAGAACACUGAGGGUAAUUCUUCUAAGAACAAGGAACUUCAUCAAAACCUCAGAGUCUGGCUGAAGAUCAUUCUGGGGACAAAUAAUCACCGUCCAACAUCCAACUCUUUAGAAUACAUAAAAAAUGAUCAGAAGUGUAUACUCUACUGCCUCAACAAAGGGCUCAAGCUGAAUCUGCCAGUGCUACUGUUCAAGUACUUUAGGGACUUUGUAAGAGACACCAGGAACAACAUGAAGCCCAGAACCUACAUCCCUCUGGGAAGACUGAUUUCCGACGUUCUGAUAGAGAGCGGCUUGGUGGAUCAUCUGAUCCAUCACAAUCUGAUGGAGGAUGUAAGUGUUGACAUUGAGAGGCUUCUGAAUGCACGUAAUCUGAAGAGCAUGGGGGUAAUUGAGCAGAUUCGGGUAAAGCCCUCGUUGGACACCUCCUGGGAAGCCCUGAAAGAUCAGAGGAAGAUACCAAAUGGCCUCUACCUCUUUUUGAAAAUUGAUCCUCCAGAGGUUGUUGCAUACUAUCUGCAGGAUCUGGCCAACCAAGGAAUGAACAUCUCAGAUUUCUCUGUGAAUUGACUGCCUGAGCAUCCACCGAAUUUCAUGAAGAGAAUGCGAGAACCUUAUGAGAAGUCAAAGAAGGCCAAGAAAUCAAAGCUGGGGGAAGCCUCUGUAUCAAGACCUCUUGUCCCUCUGAUCGAAUCUCCAAGUAAGUCUCUGCCUCAUAACUCUCCCUCUGUUAAUUUAAAGCAACUUGCUUCUUCCCUUCCUAAAACCUCACCUAUCUACACACACUCUGAACCUUCACCCUCCACUACUAAACCCUAUGAAACACCUACCUCUAACGAACCUUCACCCCCUCUUCCAAAAAUUUAACCUCACCACCACAACCUUACCCAUCUCUGAAGCUGAAUUGUUCAAUGAACCAAUAUCACCACCCUCUUCAACACCUUCAUCCCCAUCUUGCUACACCAUCUCCUCUGACUCAGAGCCCUAUGACCCCCAAUCUCCCACCUUGGCUCAGCUUCAGGCUCGUGCCCUUUCCACACACCACCAAUAUGAACUAGAAGCUAACAUUCCAUCACCAUCGGAGCAACCGACACCACCACCACCUGAACCUCCCAUCGAAACACCCUCUGAAAACCCUAUCAUCCAUAACUCUCAACCUCCCGAUAAAACCACCCACACACCACCAUCAUCUCUAUCUCCUACCCCUGAACCAAAACCUACCUUCCCCACCCUGGAAGAAGCAAUUACUUUAUUUACUGAGUCUUCAGUGGAGAAGAUCAGAUCAUUAUCUGAAAAUUUUGGUAUCAGUAACGAUCCCUCUGCAGUGAGGAUUCACUGGAACAUAGUGAUCAGAUGGAUGACCUCUGAGGCUUUCAAGCUGAAAGGCCUUUCUGAACAAGUCCGAAACGACUUCAUCAGAGAAGCUGGAGAGAGGCUGCAAGCACGUCUGGUCAGAGAGGAAGAAGAGAAGGCCAGAAGAGAAGCAGAAGAGAAGGCUCGUUUGGAAGAAAUGCAAAGGGCUAGAGAAACUGCAAAGAAAGAUGCUGCUGAAGCUGAAGAAAAAGCAAAAGAUGAUGCUGUAGAGGCAGCACGUAUAACUGCAGAAGAAGCUCCAAAGGCAAGAAAUGAUGCUCUGACUCAGGGGGAGCAAUCUCAUUCUAAUUUUUCUCCUCUUGUUCUGAAGACUAUGGAAGAGCUACAUAAGGAGCAACAGAUAGUGAGAGCAAGACUGGACCAACAGGACUCCGUCAACAACAACAUUCAGAACCUGCUGACUCAGCUGCUCCAAAGGAUGCCUCCGCCUCCGAACCCUUAGGCACUUAGGCUUUUCUUGUUGUUUCUCUUACUUAUCUGCUAUGUAUUUUGUUUUCUUAUCUCUAUUUUGAAUAGCUGCUUAUCUGUAAUUAUAUUUCUCAUAUAUGAAUCUGAUUUUGACUACUCUCUAAUGUGCUGUCUUUUUGAGUCUCACAAAAAGGGGGAGAAUAAAAACAACUCUAAUAAAAAUAUAUCUAACACCUCUUGCUGCACUGCGCAUAUUAAUAUCUUAUGAAAAUUCUAAGCUAUGCAAGAAACAUCUAAAGGUAAAAACUAGCUGCUACACAAGGAAGAUCUGGUAAGAAUAUCUGAAAACCUGGUAUGAUAUAUCUCAGGGGGAGUUAUCACUCAUCUGUUAGUAUCAUUGUUUCAUCACCACUCUGAGGUUUUUGGCAUCAUCGAAAAGGGGGAGAUUAUAAGAACAAGAUUCCGUGUCUACAAUUCAUAUCUAAGAUUUUGAUGAUAACAAAGGAUGAAACAAAUUGGUACCCUCACACAACUUAUAUAAGUGUUCAGGACUCUAAUCAAAAAGAGGUCAGAUAGACAUACAUCAGAUAUACACGCAAGACCAGAAUGACCACUUAGAAGUUAUUCAGGUAGAAGUUCUAACUCUGAACACAAAUGAAGCAUACAAAGCUCAACGAAGAAAGAGGUAUUAGACGUUCUGAAUCUGAAGAGCGCACUCUAGGGUCUGAGACUUUUACACUCUGAUGUAAUCACUAUCAGGAAGACAUCAAGAACCUCCGAAGUCAAUAAACUUUAAGCACAUAUAUGGAGAUUCACACGCCGAACAAAAACUUUGAUUCUGGACACUCUAAAUCAGAAACGAUCAAUAAGACUUAGCUAUGAAGUCUUCCGCUUAUGGCAAGAAUCUAUUUUUGGAAGAAAGUUAACACACCCCAAACUGCUAUGGGAAUAACAAAGAGAUUAAUUACAUUAAAAUGUCCAUCAUUGCCAAGACCUUUGUCUUCCAACGGUCUCUUCAUCAAAUCCCUAUAUAUAUAGGAUGGAUCAUCUUCAUAAGAAUUAACGAAGCACACGAGAAUACUGAACCUAAUCAAAAAUCUCUUAUUCAUUCUCUUUUCACACGAGUUGUUGCUCUAAGUGUGGACUAUUUUUUUCUGUUCUUAUAUUGUGUAAUUUCUACUUACCUAAAAGCACUAAGCACAUAACUAUAUUUCUCAUUAACUGCUGAAUAUUCCUCAAGUGACUUGUGAAGUCUGUAAACUUGAGAGGGCUAAGAGAUCUUUAUCCUCUUAGACACUCAGGGUUGUAAUCUUUCAAGAUUAGUGGAUUAAGUCCUUGUUGAAGGAGAAAUCACCUUGGCCGGGUGGACUGGAGUAACUUUGAAUUUCAAGGGAACCCGGAUAAACUUCUGUGUCAAUAGUAUUAUUUUUCGCAUGUGUUUUAUUUGCAAAAGUUUUUAUUAUCUGUGAAAACAAUUCAAACCCCCAUUUCUUGUUUUUCUCUACCUUCAUACUCUAAGUGAGGCUUGAAAUAUGUUAGAAUAAAGUUUAUAUUCUCUCAUGAAGGUUUCAUCCACAAACCAUGGCUCUAUGUUAAUUUUCUUUAAGACCGCCGUCUUCUUAUAUUCUUCAUGUUUGUUCAUCAUUGUAGCUAUGAUGGCAUCUUUGUUUUUGUGGUGGUAUUCUGGGUCUUUGACUAGACGAGGUCAUGGUGAUACUUAUGACAAGAGGAAGAACUUACAAAAUAAAAUAUACAAGAAAGUUUGAGAUGAAAGAAAAGUGAAGAUAUGAAUACCUAUUUAUAAUGUUCCAUAUAAGGAUUUGAGUGUGUAUUCCUGGAAAGCAUUCAAUGUAGAUUGUACUGAUCAAAAAUCAAUUCAAGAUCUUUCCUAAUUAUUUCAACCUUAAAAUAAAGUACACCUCCUUUAUCAAGGAUUCAUGAUAAAUAUUUACCAAAGAGGGGAACAAACUAAAUAGUAUAGUGUAUUGUCAUGUACACAUCGUUGGAUGUGAAAGUUGGUUAAACCAUAAGACAAAUAUGUCCAUUACAGACAUAUCCAUUCAUCUGAUCACUAAGGAUCAUAAACUCUGAGAUAUUCUCAAAUGAUUUGAUUUGAUCAUAAUGGUUUACAUUUUCCAUCAUCAUUCAUCCUUGGAUCAAAUCCUUCAUAAAUAUUGUACACUUUAUAAGUAUAUCAUGCUUUUCAUAACUUCAUUAAUAAUUGUUAAAACUCCAAGCUGCAAAGCAUACAUGCAAAACACUAUUUUUUCACCUUUGGUGCCCAUAUCUUUUUGGGCCCAAGUGCAUUAGUAAUAAAAGAUAUAAGGUGGUUACCUUUAUAUCCUUUAAAUUUAUUAAAACAAAAAGGUUCUAAGUGUCCUAUUCUCUUAGAGUGUGUGCAUUUAUAAAUUGGACACUUAUUGGCCUUUUGAUCUUCCCCUUUCUUGGGUUUUCUAUCCCUUUUAAAUCCUACUCCAUUUAUAUAUAUGGAGGAUCUUUGACUAGAUAAAACUAGGUCAAGCUUAUUUUUUCCUUGGGUAAAUUUUCCUAGGGUUUCACGAAGAUCAAGUACUUCUUUUAUGGCGGAGUCACACCACUUGCAUUAUCCUUUCGAAUUUCUAAGCUUAGUUAUCUUUAUUUUGAAAGAAUUGUUUAUUUCCUUAAGGUAUCUUACGAAUUCCUUAAGACCUAGGGUACACUCUCUUAGUUUAGCAUUUUCUUUCUCUAAUUGAUCAGACAUUCUAAAUAGUUGAGCUUAAGAUGAUUUGAUGCCUGCAACAAUAUCUCCCUCGUAGAAUGCCUUCAAGCAAAUUUCAUCUUCUUUGUUGGAAGAGGAUUCUUUCAUACUUCUCCCCGGGGUUGAUGUCUCUCCUCUUCUUCUUCUUUGUUCGAGUAUUGAAGAAACUUCUUCAUUUUCUUUGUCUUUCCUUGAACAAUGUGGUCCUUCAUUGGAUGUUGAAUCUUUCGAGCAUCAUUUAACUACCAAGUAUGUUCUUUCAAAGGACUACACAAGAGUUGUAUGAUAGGAGUAUGAUGAGGGUAAUGAUUCUUUAGUUUGAAUUUCUCCCUCUUUAAGUAGUUGAACUAGAAAGUUUAACUUUUCUAUAAUUUGCUUCUUUCUUGAUUUUUCCUAAAAUUCAUGAAGCAUCUCAUCUUUUGAUUUAAGAAUUGAAUUAAAUUUCCAAUUCUUGGUUCUUAGAUAUUUGUUAGUAAUACAGUAGUACCCAACAAAAUUUUCAAUAUUUUUGAAUUUAUAAAAAUAUCCAUAUAUCCUUUCAAGAGUCUCCCACAUUUCCUUGGAAUUUUUACAACGAUGAACAUCAUAAAGUUUACUAUCAUCUAAAGACAUUAUUAUAAAGUUCUUUGUUUUAAGAUCUAUGUGUAUCUUUAUCUUUUCUCCUCCGGUCUAAACGGAAUAUGGUUUAUUUACUACUUCAUCAUUUACUUGACGAGUAGGAUAAAUUGGACCAUUGACUAUUGUUUCUCACAAUUCAUGAUUUAUGCUUUGAAUAAAUAUUCUAAAUCUAGCUCACCAAAUAUUAAAGUUACUAUUUUUGAAAAGUGGUGGUAUGUUUUUACCAGAUAUCUUUUCGAAAGUUAUCUUCCUCCUGAGACAAUAUUCCUUAAGUAUGAGUUAGGCUAUGAUGUCACUUGUUGGACUUGAGAAUUCACACAUAAAAGAUGGUGAAUUGUAUGGUUAUGCAAAAUGUAAUUUUGAAAAACUUUGCAGAGUAAAAUCAGAGUUUAAAAACAUAUCUAAAUACUUAGCAACAUAAAUAAAAAACACAAUAUAAAUUGCAGAAAUUUAAACAGUUAAGGGAAAGAGAUGAACACCAGAAUGUAUAGAGAUUCGGGAAAACAAGAAAAUGACCUAGACCUCUCCCCAAAAUUUGAUCUUGAGAGAUUCAAAUAAACGUUGGUAGGUUUUAGUAGGAAAGACUCACGAACCCCCUUAAACAAGGAAAUGAUGGUUGACCUCCAACCAAUUAAUACAAGACUUCGGUAUUUAGAAACUUGAGUCUUCUCUUCCAAAUGGAAGAUUGAAGUGGUUGGUCUUCUCUCCACAAACAAGGAUCUUAGAGCGGUUAGUAUUCAAGUUCCUUAAACCUUACAAACUUUUACACGGGUGAGCUUAUGAACCUUUAAACGUUGGUUUUACAUGGGAUAAACCAAUAACCUGUGAGAUUUUAAUACCAGACUAAUAUAAAACCUAUGAAGCUUUUAAUACCAGGCUGAGCUCCAUCCUAUCUUGUUUUUAUCACGGGAUGACCAAGAACCUAAGAGUUUUUAACAUGGACUAAUCCCUAACUUAAAUUAGGGUUUGAUCACACAAUCACCAAACCAAAGUUUUUAACGAGUUUAGCUUAUAACCCAAACAAAUCCCUAAAUGGAUAAUAUUCAACCAAGGUAUAUACAAAAUAUUUCCUUGGUAAAUUUAUAAUUCUAUCCAUCCACAUUUACAAAAUAUUCUCACUCACAAAAGGACUUUUCUUACAAAUGCACCAUGGCCAAAAUAUUGGUGAGAGAAAGUAAGUAUAUAUUUGAGAGAGAGAGAGAGAGAGAGAGAGAGAGAGAGAGAGAGAGAGAGAGAGAGAGAUAGAGUUGUAUCAAAACACAAUUCUGGAUGAAAUGAAACAGGGAAGAGACCUCUAUUUAUAAGCUAGAGGUUGACUCAAAAAGGAAUUUCAAAUAAUUUUUUUUAUGACAAUCUAAUUGAUUGACACAUGUUUACAAUCGAUUAGAAGUUUGAAAUAAUAUCGAUUGUAAGUUCAAAAAAGGAAGGAAAAUAUAUCUAGCCAUUAAACAUCAUUAAGGCACUGCCCUAAUCGCUUAUGACUCAAUUUUGAUUUGAGCUAAUCGAUUAGACAAAAGUUUCAAUCGAUUAGAUAAGUAAAAAAAUUGCCUAUAACAAUUUUUAAAGUUCCUAUUUUAUAUUUCAUAACUUCAAGAUAUUUUUGAAAAUAUUUUAUUUGCUAAAAACAGUUUGAAAAUAUAUUUUAGUGAGUGUGAUUUAGCCAUGCCCUUUUACGAUAAAACCCAUCUACAUUAUAGUUGUUUCACUCACUACUUAAAUAAGAGAUUCCUAAGCACUUCAAGACAUUGCCAUAUGCUUUCUCUUUUGAAAACACUCGCUUGAUUAGCUUUGAUAUGAAGCUUUAGUUACAUUCCAUUUGGUCGCCAUCAUCAAAUAGUCAAGUUCGUUAUAUCGUAAUGAUUAAGUUUUCAUCUUUAUCUGCUUAAUCGUUCAUGCUUGACUUAUCAUAAGAUAUUAGUUGUCAUCAUUAAAAAUUGAUGUCCUUGUUAAAUCAUAUCACCUUCAAAACAAGGUUCCAACUAUAAUACUCAUUGGAUUAUUAAGAUACCUUUGUCACACAAGGCCUGACCUAACAUACAAUGUAGGCAUGGUGAGUAGGUUCAUGCAAAAGCCAAAGGUGUCUCAUAUUGUAGCCACUAAGAGAAUACUAAGGCAUCUCAAAGGAAUAUUAGAUUAUGGCUAUUUGUUUCCUGAAACAGAUGAAGGAAAGAAAUACAAGCUAGUGGAGUACAAUGACUCAAGUUGGUGUGGUAAUAUUGAGGAUAGAAAAUCCACAGCUGGUUAUAUGUUUAUGAUAGGAGAUGCACCGGUUUCUUGAAGCUCAAGAAAAGAACCAGUUGUAGCUCCGUCAUCAUGUGAGGGUGAGUACAUAGUUGCCUCUCUUUGUGCAUGUCAAGCAACAUGGAUGGUGAAUCUUAUAGAAGAUAAUGUAGGCGAAAAUCAUGGAGCAAUGAUCAUGAAGAUUAAUAACAUGUAUGUUGUCAAUUUGGCCAAUAAUCUGAUAGCACAUGGAAGAAGAAAACACAUUGGUAUGAGUUUUCAUUAUCUUAGAGAACAUGUAUCGAAAGGUCAAUUGAACUUGGAACAUUGCAUAAUUGAGAAUCAAAUUGUAGACAUCAUGAUAAAGGUUGUGCAUGUGGAAUUGUUCAAGAGAUUGAGAACUAUGAUAAAUGUAGGGCUUAGAUAGAACGAAUUUGAUGGUGUGUUAAAUAUGAAAUUCUUUAUGUUAAGCAUGUUUGUAAAGUGCAUAAUUCGACAGAGUAGAAGUCAAAUGUAUUCGACAGAGUAGUAGUUGAAUAUAGUUUGUAAUAGUUGAGUCUGCAUAUAUUCAAUUGAAGGUCGAAUACAACUUAUAGUAUAUGAAGGUGCAUGUAUUCGAUAAAGAUUCGAAUACGGUUAGUCGUGGUCUAAGCAUAUUGUAUUCGACAGAGUUAAAUAACAACUUGUUGAAGUUAGUCAGUCAGUUUGAGAUUGCGAGCCGUGCAAGCAAUCUCAUUAUAAAUAGGGAGAUACCCUGCAUUUGUAAAUAGUAUUGGAACAAGUUUUGUUCUACAUAUACAAUCCUUAUGUUUUGAUGAUAAAAAAGUAUAAAGAACAAUUUUAUACACUAAUAGGUAUAUUAAGUGUGCAGAAUCUUAAAGUUAAAGGAAGCAGAUUUUGAACUCUGGAUAAAGCAUAAUCUGGACAAAGCAAACUCUGAAUAAAGUAAAGUUUGAACUCUGACAAGAUACUCUGGACUCUGAACAAAAAAGACUCUUGACUCUGGACUUUAAUAAAUUUUAAAACAAGGUUGAAUUAUGAAGAAGUGUUUAAUUGAUAGUCAACCAUCAGAAUAACCAAGUCAAUGCUUCUGAAUAAAUAGUCCAGAUUUACUCUGAUAAUCCAAACCUCAUUUUCACUAGACUCUUCAAGGCUUUGAACUCUGAUAAAGCUUCAAAUACGAACCCAGUGAUUUAGAGUAUAAUGUUGAAAGAAUAUUCUUGGAAAUAGUAUAUUCAAGCGGAAAAAUAAAAUGUUUCCUUAAAAAGACAAAUAUGUUGGAAUUUAUAAAGAAUGUACUACGAACAGAUCUCCACAAUUCACGGCUCAACCUCGUACCAUUAUUACAACUCUAAAAUUGAAGAAUUUUCCAAUUUAUCCUCCAACAAUAUUAUUCAUCCUAUAUUUUAAGAAGACAAAGAAUUUUGAAGAAUAGAUGAAGAACAAGAAUAACAAUAAAGUGAGUAGAAAAAGAACAACAAACAAGAGAAAAAACGACUAUAACACUCAUUACACUUAGAACUUUUCUCGUAUGUUUUCUUAAGUGUAGACUCUGAAAUUCUUCUUGUGUUUCUUCUUGUUUAGAAAUAUUCUUGUAAACACACACUCUUUGUAUUUUAACUUUGGUUAAAUUUCUUUAGGGACUAAGUUUAGUAUGUAGCCUUGAGAAGUCAUUGACAAUUGAUCCUUGAGUUUGUAAGCUGUUUGAUUAGUGGAUUAACUCAUUGUGAGAAGGCGAAAUCACUCUGACGAGUGGACUGUAUUAUCUUAGUUAACUGUGAACCAGCAUAAAAAUCAUGUAUAUUUCUAUCAUUGUUGUUCUUGUCAUUAGUUUGUAAAAAAAUUGUCAUAUCUGAAACUUAAUUUAAACUCCCCUUUCUUGUGUUUCUUAAACCUUAAAGUAGUACAAUAUUAUUCAAUUCAAUAUACAUUCUUCUUCUUUUCUCCCAAAACCUAAAUUGUUCUCUCUCUUCUUUUUCUCUCUAAAAUUAUCUUCUCUCUUCAAAUCUUUGUGCGAGGGAAUCAUCUUUCAACCAAUAUAUGGUUGAAUCACUCGAAUGAAAAAUGAAAAAUGAAAAUUUUAAAUCAUAAAAAAAGUUAUUGAAUCUUGUUUUAUCAAGAUCAUUUCCAACACUAUCAAAAUCAAUUCCGUUCAAAUCAAUUCUAUAAGAAUAUUAUCAUUCAUUUAUUAAAAUAAUUAUUUUAAAUGAUAUGGUUGAUUUUUUACUCAAAAACAAAAAGGUAUGAGAUGUUAACUCAUUCCUUCAUAAUUUAAAGUUGGAUACAUUUUCAAUCCCCUUUAAAUAUUAAUCUUAUAUAUGACUAACCGAACAACAUAGGAAAAACACACUAAUGUUUAAUCUCAUUUAGUUUAGCUAAUUAAGAGGUCACAAAUUCAAACAUGCAUUUUUAUAUUUGAUGUUGGUUUUUAUAUUUGAUGUUCUUACACAGGUAUAACCUAAACUAAUUUAACGAGAUCAUUAGUGUUUAUUUGUUAAGUACCAAAAUUAUGACUUACAAGAAGAUAAUAUGCUUAAAACAUCAUAGAAUAAUUUUUCAACUUAUUCAUUUCACUGUCACACAGGUACACAUACCCCAGAUACACUUUGAAACUUGAUCAGGGUUACAUACAUAUGUACCACAUUCAUCGUUGUUAGCGCAGAACAUAGGAUCAUCUGUCAUGUCAAAUAAGGAUAAAGGAAUAUGAUUAAAAAGAGAUGGAAUAUUAUGAAUAUGAUACUGAAGAAUAUCAUUAAAAAGAGAGGAUUAUUAUGAAUAUAAGAAGAAUAUUAUUAAAAAGAGAUGGAUUAUUAUGAAUAUAAUAAAGAAGAAAAUUUGAAAUGGAUGUGAAAGAAAAACUUACCGUCGCUAGUUACAAAAACCAUUAGAGAAAGAAAGUUGAUAAAAGUAAUAACGAAUUUGUAAAUCUCAACCAUAUUUUUUCUAAUUAGCAUUCAAUAAUUUGAAAAUGGUUGAUCACUUUAUGUAAAAAAAACCUAUGCAUUGUUAACUUAGAAUGAUUUAGGUAGUUAGUUAGUAUAUGCAAUGUUGCAAAGUCACUAUUAAAGUAAGAAUUUUUGUUGAGUGUCGUAUUUUUUUAAAUAAAAAUACACAUUUAAUUAAAAUAUGUAAAUGGUAGUAACUUUAUAAUUAAAAGUAUUUUUUUUAAUCAUACAUUACUUAAAUUAGACAAUUUUUUAUGAGACAAAAUAUAUUUUUAAGAUGUUGCAAAUGAUUGUUGGGCAGUUGGAAUGCCAAUAUAACUAAGAUGUUAAUUAUUUCAUAAUGAUGCGUUUGUACUUCCAAGUGAUUUUAAAGAAGUGUCUCUUAAUUACAUCAAUGCAUCUUAUACAUAAUAUUUUGGGGACAUUUUUAUACAUCAUUUUAGCUCACUUAAUUUUAAUAAAAAUCUCACAUGCAACUUUUUAUGAGCACAAAAGGUUAUUGUUUCUUUUUAUAUUAAUGUUUUAGAAAUUAAUUCUUUUAUUUUAAAUUCAAACCGUUAUUGUUUCCUUCUCACUUUUUCAUAAGAAAUUGAUGAAAAAUUUUAUUUUUUCGUUUAUAUUUUUAUUUAUAAAGUUGCACAAAAGGUUUAUAUACGAUGAUUUGUCAUAUUUUACAAGAAACAUGUCUUUUAAUAAAUAAAAUUCGUUAAUUUUAAGUGUAAAAGUAUAAGUGGAUGAUCAAUUUCGUAAAUUAGAUAAAAUAUGAGACUAAAAUUGAAAUUAAACCUAUAUAUUCACUUUGAGUUUAUUUCUUAUUUAACACAAAUUAUUUCAAGAAUUUUAACUCUUAACAUAGGGACUGUGACAUUUAUAACUUUAUACUAGUCUAAGUUUAUAUAACUUUUGUAGAGACAAUAUAGGCUUUCCUCUUGGUUUUUUUAAGAAGUGUUGAAAAUUUGUGAAAGAUGAUGUUGUUAAGUUUGUUCAAGAAUUUCACGAGCAUGGUAAGCUUCCUAAAGCUAUCAUUGCGUCUUUUAUUGCUCUCAUUCCUAAAGUAGAUAAUCCAUAAAGUAUUGAGGAAUUUAAGCCGAUUUGUUUGGUGGGCUGUCUAUAUUGUCUUAUCUCUAAAUUGUUAGCGGCCAGGUUAAAAGUUGUGAUUGACAGUUCCUUCUUCUCAAAUGACUUUUAUAGAAGGUAGACAAAUGUUAGAUGGUGCGUUGGUUCUCAAUGAGGUGUUAGACUUUUCCAAAAGGAAGUGUUUAGUGGUGAAAGUUGACAUUGAGAAGGCUUAUGAUUGUGUGUCGUGGGACUUUCUUAGAUAUGUGCUUAAUAGGAUGAGCUUUUGUAAAAAAUGGUUGUCUUGGAUGGAAGCUACGGUCUUUUUUAGCUCUUUGUCAAUUUUGGUGAACGGUAGUCCUACAAAUGAUUUUAUGGCUUAUAGAGGACUCAGAUAAGGGGAUCCCUAUCUCAUUUCCUUUUUCUUUUGGUAGUUAAGGGCUUGGCUGGCUUCAUGAGAAAUGCUACCGAUUAUGAAAUUUUCAAGGGUUUUCAUUUUUAUGAGCAUAUUCAUUUUUAGUUGUUGCAAUUUGCUGAUGAUAUGAUUAUCAUUUGUAAUGGUUCAUGGUCUAAUUUGUGGUGUAUUAAGUCGAUGCAAAGAGGUUUUGAGUUUGCUUAAGGUUUGCGUAUCAAUUUGAACAAAAGUAAGUUAUAUGGAGUUCAUUUGGGGUAAUUUGUUGCAAGCGGCAUCGACAUUUUUGGCUUGUGAGAUAGGAACGUUACCUUUCUUGUUUCUUGGUAUUCUGUUGGGAGCUAACCAUAUGCAUAAGGAAACUUGGUAUUUAGUUCUUUCAAAGUUGAGAAAAAGCAUAGUUUCUUGGCUUGACAAACAUCUAUCUUUUUGUGGUAAGGUUACUCUCUUAAAUUUAAUGCCUAACAAUAUUCCUAUUUAUAUGCUAUAUUUUUUCAAAGCUCCGAAAGGCAUUAUAGAGGAAAUUAUUUAGGUUCAAAAGGACUUUUUGUGGGGUAAUGGUGAUGAUAUGGGGAAUGUGUCUUGGGUUAGUCGGGAGAGGAUUUGUCUUUCUAAGAAGGAGGGUGGAUUAGGAGUCAAGAGUAUUGAGAAUUUCAACUUUUCUUUGAUUAGUAAUGGGUGGAGACUUUUAUCAGAGAAGAAGCAUUGUGGUCCAAUCUUAUUCAUUUUAUGUAUGGUGAUGGCAUGUCGAAUUUAUUUGGGAAGGAUUCUCUUCGGGGUUUGAAGAAUUCUUUGCUUUGGUGAAGGGACGUGAGGGAGGUUUGUAAUCUUAAAGUUGGUGGUCAAAUUUGGCUUUCCGAUAGCAAUUCUUGCAAGUUUGGGAGUGGUGUGACCAUUAAUUUUUGGGAUGAAUGUUGGUUGGGUGCGAUCUGUUGAAAGAGAUUUUCCCGAUUGCAUAUGACACUUGUUCAAACUUAACAUUUAAGGUGGCGAAUAGGGUUUUUGGUUGGAUUCUUGUUGGCAUUGGUAUUUGGGGGUUGAUGAGGUUGCUCUUUAUGAGGUUAGUGACUAAUGGUCGGUUUUAGUUUCAAUUUUGAGGGAUGUAAAGCCAAAUUUUGAUUAGAUUGAUAAAGUUGUGUGGUGGAGAUAUGUCAAGGGUUUUUUGGUGAAAAUAGCUAUAGGAGGUUGUAUGAUUUAAAGUCCCAAAACAUGGUGUGGAAUGAGGAGAGUUUAGUAGAGUUUGGUUGGGUUUGGAAAGCAAAUGUUCUGAGCAAAGUGAAGUUGUUUUGUUGGAGGCUUAUUUUGAAUAACUUACCUAUUAGAAGUGGGCUUUGUAAUAGAGAAGUGUCGCAUAUUUUGAGUGGAAAAUUGUGUUUGAUGUGCGAUAGGGUGGAAGAAUCGGUUGAGCAUCUUUUUUUUUUUCUGUGUACCAGAAUUGGUAUCGUGUGGACGGUCGUCCUAAGGUGGUUAGGCGGUGAUGCAGUUGACGGGGCUGUGGUGGAUGGUGUGCCGGUGGCUGAUCCAGCAAUUCAGUUGUUGGUCCAUCUCAAAGAAAGGUUAUGUUGUUUUAUUAAUCCUUAUCUUUUUUAUUUCUUUUGGUUGUUAGUUUGUUGGCGUGUGGGGUUGAGUAGGAACAAAGUGAUUUUUAAAUGAUAAAGUUUGGAAAUAUGGAGAAAAUUCAUCUUUGAUUAAAUUGUUAGGUUAGGAUUGGAUUUCCAUUUUGUCGAAAGGAAGACUUGAUUUAGUUAGGGAUGUUUGGAACUAUAAUCCCAGGGAAUAUAUUAGAGUGUAAUUUUCUAUUGUUCGAGUUGUUUUUAUCCCUCUUUUUAUUGUUGGUUUUUCCUUGUAUUGGGUUUAGCACCCCUGUACUCUGUUAAUACAAUUUGAUUAUAAUAUGAUUNNNNNNNNNNNNNNNNNNNNAGAGUAUAUCUUCUAGAAUAACAAUUAGGAAGUGCAAAUGUUCAUCUAAAUGGAAACAGACUCGUCUCUACUGCAACUAUUUGUCAUUACAGUCUAAUGUCAAGUCUAGCUACAAUGGGAAAUACUUCAUUGUAUAUAUUCCAUUUUUUUUCAAGAAUCCUUAGCCACCAAUUCUCUUUGUAUUGAGCACUGCGCCAUCAGGAUUUCACUCUAGUUCUAACAACCCAUUUCACAUCAAUCGACCUACUCAUUCCCUCAUGCUUCCUCCACGCUUUUUUUAUUCGUUGUUUAUAAUGCAUAUUGAAUGGAUCUAGAUCAGCUAAUAGAGAAAAAUAUAUUUAGGGGCUCGUCCUUACUGACUACAUCAAUAUCGCAAGCAACACUUCACAGUGUAAAGUCUUUAGGAACAUGUCUACUUCUUUGUGGCUAUCAUGGAGCAUUGGGCAUCUACUAGUGUAGCCUCAUCAAAUUUAAUGUCUGUCAAACAUUUACGUCACCGCGCUAAUUCUCAUUUUGUAACAUAGCAAGCAAAAGUGUGAGACUUCCUUCUUUUUAUCCUAGCACUCAUUCCAGCUCGAUCAUCAAAAAACUUACAUCCCUAGGAGGACUAUUUUCAAUAGAAUUUUACACUUUAGGAACCUAUUAAAUGAUAUCCGCUAGAAAUCAUAUCACACUCCUUCUAUGUCUCGAUCCUCUGAUCAUGUAUUGUGCUUGAAGCAAACGAUUGCAUAACACUUUUAAUUUCACAAAUGCUUCUUUCACACAACUCCUACCAACCUCACUCAAAAUUCGAGGCAUCUAUCAAAAGCUAGUGGUGUUUGAGUCGUUACCAGACACAUAUGGGGCCAGUGCUUGUAUUACCAUGUCUCUUUCCAAUCAAGGAUGACCAUAGUUCUCUUCUACAAGAACAUGUGUUGGGUGUAUAGGUGAGGGCCCACUUCAUGUUUAGCCUCCACUAGCAAAUUGCCCACACUGUAUCGAGUAUAUCUCACCUUUAUCAAUCCUUAAACCUUAAUUUAUUUUGCAACUCUCCUUAUCAACUAGUUUUGAACUAGUAGAAAACUUCAAAAGCUCACUUAGAAAGUUAAUAAGUAUAGAAACCAAAAUAUACUUGAUUCAUCAACAAAAGUUAAAAGUAGUGUACCUCUCAAGAUAUACUUAAAAAAGCGGCCACAGAUAAUCAGAACGCACAAACUUUAGAGCGAUCUUGAUCUGCUAGCAUUAAGCAAAAGAUUCUGACUUACUUUAGCAUACUACAGUCAUACUUCUGAAACACCAGUACCAUCUGGCACAUUCUUAGACUGCUAUCUUAAAACUCACUAAGCUCUCGAAAUCAAAUGUUUCAUACCUUGUGCCAUAACCAGUUAGGUUCAUCAAUGGAUCAUGCAUACUUCUUCACAAUUUGGGAUGAUAACUGAAGUUAGUCUUUACAUUGGGCUAGGAAUCAACUUCUUCUUUGUAUCAACAGUGGAGCCAAUCACUAUCAUGUGAUAGAAAGAAACCUUCUCCCACCAAUUUCACAUGUCUCAGGUGGGUUACAUUUGACUUGAACUUCCACACAUAAGGGGAGCGGAAUUAUUGGUUAGAAAAAAGUCAUUCAAAAAUUUUGGAACAAAACAAGUUUAAAGCAUUUUGAAACUUAGCAAUAGAAACUAAUAAAAAGCAGGAAAAUAAAUGCACAAGAAAUAAAGAGUAAGGGAAGAAAGAAGACACCAAAAAUUAAGGUUCAUAAAAAAGACUAUAGUCCUAUUCCCAAAUGAUCUGAAAUCCAUAAACAUUGAAGCUUAGUAGGAAAGACCAGUGAAACCCUCAUAUGAUUAAGGAAAUUAGGGUGACCUUGAACCCAAAAAUAAUACAGACGAUAAAAUUGGUGUUUACUUCUUUUCUUCAAAAAACUGAGUGAAGGCAAUCUUCCUCCCAAUGGUGGAUAAAGUGGUUGUCGGGAGUUAUUCACAACACAAGACCUUGGAACAAUUAUCUCAAGUUCCUAAAAAUUAAGCUCAAAACCCGGUUUACAGGAAUAACAAAUAACUGUAAACUUUAAAACCGAGGCAGAGCUCAACCCUCUUGAUUUUAAAAAUCGGGCUGACCAAAACCUAGAAUUUAACAAGACAGCUGAUCUCAACACGUAGAAACUAGGAGUGAACACAACAACCCAACCAAAGGAUUUAGGUUACUUCGGAACCCAAAUAAAUCCUGAAAUGGACAUAUUCAACCAAGCAAUUACAAACGAUUCCCUGGUGAAAUUUUUACAAUCUACCAUUCUAGAAUACAAGAAAGUAUCCUCACUCCAAAAAAGAACUUUUCUACAAAAGCACUAGGCAAAGCAAGCGACGAGAAAGUUAAUAAAUGUUUAGAGAGAGAGUGAGUGAGAGACGAAAUGUAAAAACAAUGAUCUGAGGUUCGAAAGGAAUGGAUCCUCUAUUAAGGGCCUACUCAAGAAGAAUUGUCCAUAUUAAUGUCUUUUAAGAAAUAUAAAUCGAAUAGAAGCCUUAUCUAAUCGAUAAUGGUCAAUCAAUUAGUGUAAGUUCUAAAAAUGAAGAUUAAGAAUCAACCAUUUCACAAACCAAGGGCGCCUUCAAAUAGCUGACCUAAUUGCAUUCUAAUCGAUGGACAAAUAGUUCUAACCGAUAGAAAGACCAAAAUCACCGUCUAUAGAUGUUGAACUGCUCUUAUUUCAUCAACACAACACCUAGAGUUGUUCAAAAAUAUUGUUCGUAAAGCAUUUUGUAAGAUAGUGUUGGCUUUAACCGUAUGCUUUAGAAUAAAGUCCUUUAACUUACAAUCAUUCACCAUUUAUCAAAUUUGAGAUCACCACAUUGCUUCAAGAUUUAUCAAGUAUUACUCUUAAGUGACACAUGCUGAUGGAUUGAGAGAGAGCUUAGUUAUAAUAUUUGUUUCCAUUACGGAUAGUAGCAAUUAUCACCCAAAUGUAAAUUUGAAUAUAUGUUUAAAUCAUGUUACUUACUCAAGUACAUCAUCAAAAAACGGAGUCCUGUAAAAGCAUAUCACAGCAAAACAAGUUCCCAAUAUUCAUUCCAGGAACAUGAGUGCCUCCAAUCAAGGAUUUUUCCAUUUCCUUUUCUUUUGAUCACAAUAUCAUAAAAUACCUUAUACUCAAGGUAAUUACCAUUACAAGCUUACACAGUCAUCUCUUUAAGGUCAAAAUAUCAUCCAUUUUCAUUCAUGUCGUAUGUUUGAACCCCUGAAUCUAAAUACCUAACACUUCAACAUUGGAUCCCCUUCACAUAUGGUAGCAUAAAAAAUACCUGUCAAAAACCAUAACAUCAUCCACUAACUAUAGCUAUCACUUCCUGUGAAUUUCUUUCCUCUCUUUCUGACCAAUAUUCAUUUGCAAAAUGACCAACGAUUUUGCACAGUUUAGAAUGACCUUGCUCUUAUCAAAAUCAUGUCGUUUUGGGUAUGAUCCUUGUCGCCCCCCUCUCAGAGGAUCAACCUUUCGCAUCUUUAUGUUUGGCAGUAGGGACCAAUUUUGAAAUUGGACUCUUGCCUGCUCAUUUCCAACAUUUCAACAUGCUCACUAAAUGCCGAGUACUGUAUUAUACCAGCUUACUCUUCGGUCCUCUAUCAAACCACCGAACAUACUGCUUCUAGUAAAUUUUAUAGACUUCCCAAUUUUCAUGGUCUUGAACCUUGGAUUCUUGAUUCACUUAUUAAUGAAAUCAAAUAUAUAUUUAAGACUCCAUUACCUCCCAACUUUCGACCAAUAAUCCUUCACCAUAGUACUUCAAUGAUAUCACCAAAGCAAUCAAUUUUAAAAAAUAACCAACGAUUUUUAGUUCCUUCCACACACAUCCAGCCAUACUGACCACCCUUCAUACCCAAACGACAAUUAAAUAAAUACAAGUACAACAUUAGAAGUUACAUUCCUACAACAUAAACUACGACGGAUCACAACAAAAACAUAUUAUAUAUAAAAUUCGCACGACAACAACACAAUAUACAUUCCAUCAUAUAAACAAUCAUAAUAAUGUCGACAUAUCUCAAAACAAAGAUCCAAACAUAUAGUCACCAUAAACAACGUAAAUAAUACCCAAGUACUAUCGAAUCCCAUAACCCGUGCGUCACAUGACCAGAGCAGACUCGCACUCCGAGAAAACCUACACUUAUCUCCAAACCUCAACAAAGACACUCCUCUUUAUUCACCAUGCCCAUCAUAGAUGAACAUAAACACAUGCAGAAGGGGUGCAGAAACAUUAUUAAAUAAUAAUAUAACACAGAAAUAUAAACAUAAAAAUUCACAUAUGCCAACACAGCUCAAUCAUAAUCAUUCAUAAAUAACAACUCAUGAACAUCAACAAAACAACAUAUCAAGCAAGCACACGCCCAUGCAUAGACUCAACACGACUCGGUAUACCCAUUUGCAGACCAACUACAGGACAGCACUCCAGAUUCAGCACCAUAAACGAGUCCCCGCAAGGAACCAGCAGCUCUCCACAAGCCCGGAGUCAACAACACUGAACCAGUCCGUCAUCACUAGCAUCGCUCUCAUAAGCAAUGCACAUCGAAACAUGCAUCAUAAUCAACAAGCAACAACACAUCAUAUAGUUCGAAGUACAUAAUAAAUAGCUCGACAACAACCACAAAACAACAACAACAUACAACGAACGACCAUCUGAUGAGUUAAAACCGAAAGCUGCUCCGUUCCAAACGAUAUGCGGAACGCCAUUAGGCUUAAUGGCGAACGCCAUACGUUAAACCCUUAUCUGGAAAAAACUGCCGGUCAAACGAUUAUGGCGAACGCCAUUAGCAAUGGGAACGCCAUAGCGUAAACCUCUUAUUCGUGGAAAAAAAGACAAAUGCGAACGCAAGGAAUGAGAACGUCAUUUGUCGUUAUGUGCAUAAAUGAAGAUUUAAGGCGGAAAAGCUAAGAGCGCGGGCUCUAAGCAAUAACUACAACAAAAUCAACAGAUCGAGAGAAUUCCAUCAAAACCCCCAAAAACUUCCAAUCUCCCUAAAAUUCCACAAAACCUCAACAAUCCAAACAUAAUCAUGAAUUGUGCUCGCAUAUUAUCUUAUAAGGUUCAGACCCCCUUACGCUUUCUGGAUUGAAGAAGUUCUGAGCAAUCUUUGCCUUUCCUCUUCCCCUUCUCCUUUCUUUCCUCAGCGUCUCCUUUCUCUGACCGGCAAAAUACUAAAAACCUGCAGCCACCUGGCCUCUUUUACCAUUCCACUUUUACUCUUCCACUGCUCAUAUCCAUAUUUAUUAUUAAUUAUAUUAAAAAUAAUAAACACUUAAUAAUAAAAUCCCAAAUAUUGAAUAAUUGCAUUUAACCUUCAAAACAAUAAAAAAUAGUAAAUAUCAACAAUAUUCUGGGGUACACAUACCCAUCGACUUGUUGACUAUAGUUACUUGUUUUAUUUACUCCCACCAUCAUUGAGCUAUAUUAACACCUUCCAUGCUUAUCGAUAGAUCUUCUUCAAAGUGUGAAAAACCACAUUCAGCCAAUGUAGAAUUACCCACACAUUCUUUCUGAUUCUAUGUGAAGGUGGUCGUUGUUGCAUUUGUGGAUAUCACCCAGUUUCAUAAAACUUCUUGCAGGUUUCAAGCAAAUCAUGUGCUCCAAACAAUGAUUUCACAUGACAACUCCACCUUUCUUAUUGUUCCAAUAAGAAUCAACAAUUGGAGAAAACCACAUUCACAUGCAUCUGGCUUAGUCAAGAAGCCAUCAUUCCUCUUACCCAAAAUUUUCCCUAAGUUUGUUCCUCAUAAAAACACUAUUUAUUUGUGAAUACAGAACCCUUUUGGGUGUGAACUGCUUGAGAUCAAUUGUUAGAGUAACACUAGUAUAUAUACUGCAAUGCAAAGACAUAAACCAAAAGUAAUGACAAAACAAAUACUUAAGCUAUAGCAGAAUAACAACACUAAUCAUAUCAAAUUAGGGAAAGUAUAAUAUAUAAGUAGUAAGCCAAUAAAAUUUAACCAAAAAAUAACUAACCAAAGAACAAUAAAUUCUAGAAUUAUACAAUAAGACCAAGACAGCUAAGUUAUAAGUUUCACUCACAAAUAUGCUGAGUAGAAAUUGUUGUAAAUCAACCAUGUGCUGAAUUAUAUAUAAUAUAUAUAUAAUAUAAAAAAUAAAAAAUAAAUAAAAUAAAGAAUAAUAUAAUUAAAAAAUAAUAUAAAUAAUAAGAAUAUAUAUAAAAAUAAAUAUAUAUAAUUCAGCACAUGGUUGAUUUACAACAAAAUUUCUAACUCACAUAUUUGUAAGUGAAAAUUUAUAACUUAAGCUCGUCUGGUUUAUAUUGUAAUAAUUCUAGGAAUUAUAUUAGUUAACUUUGAGUUAGUUAAUUUUCUUAUGGUUAAAUUUUAUUGCUUAAAACUACUUUAUAUAUAUAUACCUUUCCUAAUUGAUAUGAUAUAGUGUUUGUAUUUGUAAUAGCUUAAGUAUUUGUUUUGCAUAACUUUUGUUUAUGUUACUUGCAUUGCAAGUAUAUAUACUAGUGUUACUCUAACAAUUGGCAUCUAAAGCCAGAUUCCAACACCAAAGGGUUCAUGUUAAUUCACAAAAUAAAAUAGUGAUUUUUAUGAGGGAAAAAACUUAGGGAAAAUUGAUAUAGGAGGGAUUCGAUAGGCUUCUUGAAACAUAAGCCAGAUGAAUGUGAAUGAUGGUUUUUCCUCCAAUAUGUUGAUUCUUGAUGGAAGCAAUUAAGAAAGGUGGGGUGUCAUGAUGAAAUCAUUGUUUGGAGCACAUGAUUUGCUUGAAACCAUGCAAGAAGUUUAUGAAGAACUGGGUGCAUAUCCCACAAAUGCACAAAGAACCACCUUCAAAGAAUCAAGAAAGAAUAAGUGUGAGGCUAUAUUCUACAUUGAGCUGAAUGUGGUUUUUCACCACUUUGAGAAGAUCUUAAUCGAAUGAAGCAUGGGAGGUGUUAAAUAAGCAUCAUGAUGGUGGAGAUAAAAUAAAACAAGUAAAACUAUAGUCACUAAGUAGAUGGUAUGUGUAACACCCAGAAUAUUGUUAGAUUAAUUUAAAUAUUAUUUUAAUAUGAUUAUUUGAAGGUAAAAUGAAUUAUUAAAUAAUAUUGGGAAUUAUUAUUAUUAUAGAUGUUAUUUAUUUUAAUAAUAAUUAAAUAAAUAAAAUAAAUGGAAUAUGAAGAGUGGAAGGGUAAAAGUGGAAAUGGAUAAAAGAGGCCAAGGUGAGAACUCAGAGUGUUUUCAACGUAUUUUUGCCUCAGAGUCAGAGAAAGGGAGAAACGCUGAAGAGAAAGAGAAGGAAGAGGAAAAGGCCAAAGAUUGCUCAGAACUUCCUUCAAUCCAAAGAGGUAAGGGGUCUGAACCUUAUUAAACGAUAAUAUGCGAGCAAAUUCAUGAUAUAUGUUGGAUUGUUGAUGGAUUUUGGGGAUUUUAGGGAGAUUGGGAAAGUUUGGGGUUUUGAUGGAAAUUCUCCGAUCUGUGAGUUUUGUUGAGUUAUAUGCUUAGAAGCCCGCGCGUCCACUGUUUCCGCACUUAAAAUCUUAUUUAUGCACAUAACAGCCAAAUGACGUUCGCCAUUAUGCCUUUGGCGCUCGCCAUUUGGGUUUUUUUCCAGAAUAAGAGCGUUUAACGCUAAUGGCGUUCGCCAUUAGCCUAAUGGCGUUCGCCAUAUCAGUUUGACGGACAGUUUUUCCAGAAUAAGAGCGUUUAACGCUAAUGGCGUUCGCCAUUAGCCUAAUGGCGUUCGCCAUAUCAGUUUGACGGACAGCUUUCGCGUUUUAAACUCCCAGAUGUGAUAUCGUUGUAAUGUUGUUGUUGUUUUGUUGAGUUGUAUGUCAUGCUAUUAAUGAUGAUGAUAACAUGACUAUAUGAUGCUGUUGUUGCUAUGUUGAUUAUGAUGCAUGUUUGGUGUGCAUGCAUUCAUGAAAGGCCGAUGCCUAGUGAUGAACGGACUGAGUUCCAAUGAUGUUGUUGACUCCGGGCUUGUUGAGAGGCUUGGUUCCUUGCGGGGAACUCGGAUUCUAUGGUGAUGAAUCUGGGAGUGGUGAUCCUGUAGUUGGUCACAAAAUGGGUAUACCGAGUCGUGUUGAGUCAUGCAUGGGUGUGUGCAUUGCAUUUGAUAUGUUGUUUUGUUGAUGUUCAUGAGUAUGUUGAUUAUGAUGAUUAUGAUGAGCUGUGUUGGCAUAUGUGAAAUAUAUUUAUGUUUAUAUUUCUGUCGUUAUAUUAUUAUUUAAUAAUGUAAUUCUCACCCCUUCUGCAUGUGUUUAUGUUCAUCUAUGAUGAGCAAUGUGCAGAUAAAGAGGAGUAGCUAUUGUUGAGGUUUGAAGAAUAAGUGUAGAGUUAUUCUACAGAGUCGAGUCAAAUGCUCUGGUCAUGUGACACCGGGGUUAUGGGAUUCGAUAGAUAAUUGGUUAUUAUUUACGUUGUUUAUGAUGACUAAUAUGUUGAGAUGCUUUGUUGAGAUAAUGUUGAAACAUUAUUAUGAAUUGUUAUAUGAUGAAUGAUAAUAUUUGUGUUGUUGUCCGCUGCGAAAUUUUAAUAAAAUAAAUAAUAUGUUUUAUGUUGUGAUGCGAUAA